UACGGGGGGGGCAAGCGUUGUUCGGAAUUACUGGGCGUAAAGGGCUUGUAGGUGGCCAACUAAGUCAGACGUGAAAUCCCUCGGCUUAACCGGGGAACUGCGUCUGAUACUGGAUGGCUGGAGUGUGGGAGAGGGAUGCGGAAUUCCAGGUGUAGCGGUGAAAUGCGUAGAUAUCUGGAGGAACACCGGUGGCGAAGGCGGCAUCCUGGACCAUUACUGACACUGAAAAGCGAAAGCCAGGGGAGCAAACGGG
rnacentral:rRNA from 1 species